GUUUUCUUUGGCUGGAGGCAGAAGAGGAAAUCUUAGAGAUUCCAAGCCUGAGAAGGACUCAACCCACAAUUACUGGCUUUGAGGAUGGAGCAAGGGGGCAAUGAGCCAAGGAAUACAGCCGGAAAACCAUUGGUACUUGCCCCAGGUAGGAGGAGGAGCAGAGAACAGAAGGUUUCUGUGGAGCUGCGUUAAUCACCAAGGAGAGGCAGAUGGCUCCAAGCCCACAGAGUGUGACCCAGAUGAAUUUCUUACAAGAAAUAUCUCAGAGGAAUAUUACCAGAGCUGGAGAUCUUCCACAUUCAGAUCCUACAUGUAUCUGUGGUGCU
rnacentral:lncRNA from 1 species